UAAUGGUUAAAUAAUUAAAUCAUUAUGUAACUUAUACAAUAUUCCAUUCAACAGUACUAGUGGCAGUAUGCUUUAAAGGUUUACUGCAGUCCAGAGUUGAUAACCAUUUGUUCUGUCAAACCACUCAACUCCUGUGCAGCCUCCAGAGGGAGCCAGUUACAAAGAUAAUUCAACUUCCUGUGAUAUGGAAUAAUUAAUGAUUUAGCUCUGGGAAAGGGCCCAUACAAACUUCUCAGCUACGUCAAUGGAGAAUUUGUAAUGGCAGCAAAACUGGUGAAUGGUUUUGUUUUCCCAGUGAGAGAAGAUGAUAUUAUUCCUGGACAUGUAGUGAGCUUUAUGCUUACUUCAGGACUUUAUAAACCCAAAGCACAUGAUUCCAACUUGGUUUCACUUGAAGCUGCUGAGAGACCUAAUUACUUUCUUCAGUUGUCCUCAAGUAAUACCCUUGUUCUUUCCAAAUGGGAAAAAAAGUGAAGAAUUUCACAACAAAUCAACAUUUGUUAUCCACAAGAAUACAUGGCUUUCAGGAUAUAGUUCCCUUGAGUCAUUUGCAAAACCAGGAUACUUCAUCCACAUUUCAAUGUCUUCAGUUGAGCUUUUGAAGUACCAUCAUUCAGAGGAGUUCAGACUGUCAAUACUUCUAAAACUUGUGGGUAGGUAAUCAAAUUUAUAUUUUAUUAACAGCAGUUUGCUUCCUGUGGAAAUACAGGCCAAAUACUACUGGCAUUUUAAGAGGUGAUGAACUUACUUUUUCCCAACAUAACUGAGAGCUGUUGUUAGUCUUUGUGACACUCGUCCUCAAAAUCUUCUUUGAGCUCUGUAGUAAGGAUUUGAUUGUUUUCUUGUCAUGAGCCAUUAAAUAUCCUUAUGACUUCACUGGUUUUGGAUAUUAAUAGAUAAGUACAACAUUUCUGGGCCAUACUUACUUUGUGAUGAAAUUCUUAAGGAACAGGAAAUUCAUUCAGAUAAAUGAUUUCAUAAAGAGGAUAGGAAAAAAAAAGGAAUACUUGUCUAAAAGAUAAGGUCUGUGCGUGAUGUUUUCUCCUUCUUUCCCUCUGAUUGUCACUGAAAGAAUUUUCAGUAUGAGUUCUCCUUGCAAACUUUGUAGCCUUCUUAUUAGAGGUCAUGCCAUCCAGUGCAAAAGACAUAGCCUGAAGACUGCAUUCCUCAAAUCUUGCAUUUCCCCUGAAAAGCAACUUCAGCUUUAUCUAUAUUCCCACUCUCAAAAGCUCUACCUUUUCAGAUGGUUAACUGCUAGCAUUUCAAGUGCAGUGGAAAUAGAGGCCUUUUCUUGGGGAUCUAGUUGUCUGUUUCCCUAAAGUUAAUUGGACUGCUGCAUAUUCAGGAGCUGUAAUGGAGAUUGCUGUGAGACUGUUUGGUUUCUACCUUCUGGAGAGAUUCCCAUUCCUGUAACAGUAAUCACAUUCCACUGAGUGUAAACAUCAGAAACGUAGGCAGUGUUCUUAGGACGCUUUGUUGGAGCUGGAUGCAGAAGUUGCUCCAGUGAGAACCAGUGACUAACACCAUACGUUUAGGACUCUAUAACUGAUCAAACUUAGCCAGUUUUAGAUUAGUAAGGAAAAACAUACUCUUAAACUCUAGAGAACCAUGUCCUGAAGUGAAGAUGGUGUUAAAGAUCAGAAUGAGACGCAAGAAUUUAUAUUGUCCUGUAAAGCAGAUUAUUCAUGAAACUAUCAUUUGCAUUAUUGUCAGUUUGGGUUGAUACAUUAGAUAUUUCUAGUAUAUCUAUGACUUUAUUUACAAAUCUUGAUAUCAACUACUACUUGCUGGCUCCCCUGGCCUUUAUGUGGUAUGUAAAGUUCCCAAAUCAUUGUAACUAUUAUUUUUAUGUUCUAAUGCUUUUUAUUUUGUUGCAACUUUGAAUGUAAUGGUAAUUAAUUUGUUGGGAUAGCAGAAGUAUUUAAAAGGUGUUCUUGGUAACACAAUUUUCUUAAAUCAGUUUUUCAUUCUCUGAAAUCAAAACUGUUUAAAAAAAAAAAACAAAAGUGAAAUAUUUUAACAAAUGAACCUUGCCUGGCUGUUUUAUAGUGAUCAGUUUGAAUCUCUUGGCACAGGCAAAUAUGAAGCAAGCACUGACUUCUGUGACAGAAGAGGCCAACUGUAUGCCUCGUGGAGCUUCUUGUUAUCAAAACAUUGAAUUAAAGUGUUAAUGGUAGCAUUGUGAAUCUGCUGCUGUUCUGUGUUGCAUUAUGAUGACAGCCUAAUGCAGCUGUUGAGUGGCACACUCCAACUUCUGAAAAAAUGACAGAUUUUGUCAUUGCCAAAUGCCUGUUGUCUCUUGACAAAUGCUUGUAAUUGCAGAGCUGUUGAGGUUUUUGAACAGCAGAGUUACAAGCUGAGCCUGUUACCAGGAUGUUCGUACAGCAUUUAAAGCAAAGAACUUUUUUUGGAUGUAACAAAAUAUCUCCUUUCGUCUUUUAUCUUUGAGACAGGAAUGAAGAAGGUUAAAACGUAUUCCAAUUCUCAGUGGUCAUCCAUUAAUACAGAGUGGUAUAUCUUUUCAAGUGUGAAGUCUUUACCAUUCAGUCAUUAUAGCAAAAAAAUUCUAUCUAUGCCAGUGGAAAACUAAAACAAUUCACCUCAGCAUGUGGGAUCAGAUCAAAUGAUCGAGGCAUUUCAUUAAUCACCACAUCCGAGGGCUUGGGUUUCAGAAUUUUAUAAGCAGAGAAACACAGGGCUCGAAUCUUUCUCCAGUGUACGUUCACAAGGCCCAGCCUGCUGAUGUAGGGUAAUUACAUGGUCUAAAAAUACAGCAGCAUUUGUUUUAGUUAAUGGAAAAGUUACACCAGCUCCAGAGUGCACAGGCAAAAGCAUAUUGGGUUUCCUGCUGACUAUUGUAAAUGCUUUGCAUAUUAGAUCAGAAACUCUUGAAGCAGGAACAGCUAUUCCUCUGGAAUCGGAGGAUAAAUAUCAGGAGCAGAAUAAUAG
ensembl:lncRNA